CCUACGGGAGGCAGCAGUUNGGGAAUAUUGGNCAAUGGGGCCAANCCUGAAUCCANCCNUNNCCGCGUGUGUGAAGAAGGCUUUCGGGUNUGUAAAGCACUUUCANGNGAGGAGGAAGGCCUUAAAGUUAAUACCUUNUANGGAUUGACGUUACUCGCAGAAGAAGCACCGGCUAACUCCGUGCCAGCAGCCGCGGUAAUACGGAGGGUGCAAGCGUUAAUCGGAAUUACUGGGCGUAAAGCGCGCGUAGGUGGUUUGGUAAGCGAGAUGUGAAAGCCCCGGGCUUAACCUGGGAACGGCAUUUCGAACUGCCAGACUAGAGUGUGGUAGA
rnacentral:rRNA from 1 species